CGUUUCGGCCAGUCGCCAGCGGUUGAAUCAGUCUGUUUUGAAACGUUGAAGUGUGAGGACGUCGGCCGCGGAUCUCAAGUAAUUUGCGUUUUGUCUUCGGGAUUGUAACUGUUUUUGAGGCUUUUACUACUGUUCGCAGACACGCAUUAUGAGCGCCGAUAGGAAGAUUACCAACCACGUAACGUUACCAACGGCGCUGGGUGCCAAACGAUGAAUCUCGUACGAAGUGACAGGUGGUGAGAACACAAGGUGGUGAGAACCCAAUCUCUCCAGUUAGUUGGUGGCUUACGCAAGCAAGGGAAACUAGACGGUGCAUCGCAAGUCCCGAAGUAUACGUAAAACAGAUGAACUUGAUCACCGAGAAGCAGAGUUCCUCAAGAAUAUUUUUCAUCGCCGCUGUACGGACAUUGUGAAUAUGUGUCCCAUGAGUUCAC